UUACCACUAGGGCAGGAGAGAGAGAGAGAGAUUAAAUAUAUGAAGCAGGCUGUAUCAAGAGAUAUAAGCAUGAAAGAUAUGCCAAGAAUGUACACACUAUAAAUUGCAUUGGGGCCUCGCAGCACUACAAAUGCACUACAAAAACACAUGCAUCAGCGCGGGAGGCUUUUAUCCAUAUUUAGGCACAGGGAGAAGCUACAAAUGCUAGAUUGAGAGAUUACUUACCAUCAAAGUUGAUGUGCCGCAGAAUUCCCUGCAUAACCUGCUCAUAAAACUUCUCUAGAGCCUGUGAAUGGGAGAGAGGCCAGGUAUCAUUCAUAGGGAGAGGGCAUACACCUAGGUGCACCAAAGGUACAGGCACAAUGAUCAGGUAUUCAUUGGGAAGGUGCAGGAAUGACAGGCAGGAGGGAAGGAAUGAUACCAAAGGUACAGGCACAAUGAUCAGGUAUUCAUUGGGAAGGUGCAGGAAUGACAGGCAGGAGGGAAGGAAUGAUACCAAAGGUACAGGCACAAUGAUCAGGUAUUCAUUGGGAAGGUGCAGGAAUGACAGGCAGGAGGGAAGGAAUGAUACCAAAGGUACAGGUACAAUGAUCAGGUAUUCAUUGGGAAGGUGCAGGAAUGACAGGCAGGAGGGAAGGAAUGAUACCAAAGGUACAGGUACAAUGAUCAGGUAUUCAUUGGGAAGGUGCAGGAAUGACAGGCAGGAGGGAAGGAAUGAUACUAAAGGUACAGGUACAAUGAUCAGGUAUUCAUUGGGAAGGUGCAGGAAUGACAGGCAGGAGGGAAGGAAUGAUACCAAAGGUACAGGUACAAUGAUCAGGUAUUCAUUGGGAAGGUGCAGGAAUGACAGGCAGGAGGGAAGGAAUGAUACCAAAGGUACAGGUACAAUGAUCAGGUAUUCAUUGGGAAGGUGCAGGAAUGACGGGCAGAAGGGAAGCAAUGGUUUGCCCCCACUGUUGAAUCACAAUCCCUUACCCCCUUUUUCAAAUACAGGUAUGGGCAGUAGCUGCUGAGUAACUGCCUGACCCUCAUUAGUGCCAAAUUUUGUCCAUGUGUUAUUCAUUGGGAAAGAAUGGCAGCCGGGGUUCAGGCACACCAAGCAGUCAUUUAGUACCACUCAGAAUGUAAGUCUUGGCUCUAAAUAUAAUAGGCCAACAUUAAGGGUCUUUCCCCAUGGGGCUUUCCCAUCAGCCGGCAACCUAUCUGUCCUGCAUCAGCCAAACAACAGAUGGGCAACAACGGCUCCCAAAGGGACACAGCCUCAAGAUAAAAUUCUUC